AUUGAACGCUGGCGGCAGGCCUAACACAUGCAAGUCGAACGAGCGGCGGACGGGUGAGUAAUGUCUUGGAAACUGCCUGAUGGAGGGGGAUAACUACUGGAAACGGUAGCUAAUACCGCAUACCAUCCGAUGAGCCCAUAUGGGAUUAGCUUGUUGGUGGGGUAAAGGCUCACCAAGGCGACGAUCCCUAGCUGGUCUGAGAGGAUGACCAGCCACACUGGAACUGAGACACGGUCCAGACUCAUACGGUAGGCAGCAGUGGGGAAUAUUGCACAAUGGGCGCAAGCCUGAUGAAGCCAUGCCGCGUGUAUGAAGAAGGCCUUCGGGUUGUAAAGUACUUUCAGCGGGGAGGCGUUACCCGCAGAAGAAGCACCGGCUAACUCCGUGCCAGCAGCCGCGGUAAUAC
rnacentral:rRNA from 1 species